rnacentral:tRNA from 1 species
GCCGAGGUGGUGAAACUGGCAACCACGCACGACUCAAACUCGUGUGCCCGGAAGGGUUUGAGGGUUCAAGUCCCUCCCUCGGCA